rnacentral:rRNA from 1 species
UGGGGAAUAUUGCACAAUGGGCGCAAGCCUGAUGCAGCCAUGCCGCGUGUAUGAAGAAGGCCUUCGGGUUGUAAAGUACUUUCAGCGGGGAGGAAGGGAGUAAAGUUAAUACCUUUGCUCAUUGACGUUACCCGCAGAAGAAGCACCGGCUAACUCCGUGCCAGCAGCCGCGGUAAUACGGAGGGUGCAAGCGUUAAUCGGAAUUACUGGGCGUAAAGCGCACGCAGGCGGUUUGUUAAGUCAGAUGUGAAAUCCCCGGGCUCAACCUGGGAACUGGAUCGGAUACUGGCAAGCUUGAGUCUCGUAGAGGGGGGUAGAAUUCCAGGUGUAGCGGUGAAAUGCGUAGAGAUCUGGAGGAAUACCGGUGGCGAAGGCGGCCCCCUGGACGAAGACUGACGCUCAGGUGCGAAAGCGUGGGGAGCAAACAGG